AUUGAACGCUGGCGGCAGGCUUAACACAUGCAAGUCGAGCGAGCGGCGGACGGGUGAGUAAUGUCGGGGAAACUGCCUGAUGGAGGGGUAUAAAUACUGGAAACGGUAGAUAAUACCGCAUAACAUCAGAUGUGCCGAGAUGGGAUGAGCUAGUAGGUGGGGUAAGGGCUCACCUAGGCGACGAUCCAUAGCUGGUCUGAGAGGAUGACCAGCCACACUGGAACUGAGACACGGUCCAGACUCCUACGGGAGGCAGCAGUGGGGAAUAUUGCACAAUGGGCGCAAGCCUGAUGCAGCCAUGCCGCGUGUGUGAAGAAGGCCUUCGGGUUGUAAAGCACUUUCAGCGAGGAGGCGUUACUCGCAGAAGAAGCACCGGCUAACUCCGUGCCAGCAGCCGCGGUAAUUC
rnacentral:rRNA from 1 species